rnacentral:rRNA from 1 species
GACGAACGCUGGCGGCGUGCUUAACACAUGCAAGUCGAACGGAAAGGCCCUGCGUUUGUGGGGUGCUCGAGUGGCGAACGGGUGAGUAACACGUGAGUAACCUGCCCUUGACUUUGGGAUAACUUCAGGAAACUGGGGCUAAUACCGGAUAGGAGCUCCUGCUGCAUGGUGGGGGUUGGAAAGUUUCGGCGGUUGGGGAUGGACUCGCGGCUUAUCAGCUUGUUGGGGGGGUAGUGGCUUACCAAGGCUUUGACGGGUAGCCGGCCUGAGAGGGUGACCGGCCACAUUGGGACUGAGAUACGGCCCAGACUCCUACGGGAGGCAGCAGUGGGGAAUAUUGCACAAUGGGCGGACGCCUGAUGCAGCAACGCCGCGUGCGGGAUGACGGCCUUCGGGUUGUAAACCGCUUUCGCCUGUGACGAAGCGUGCGUGACGGUAAUGGGUCAAGAAGCACCGGCUAACUACGUG